rnacentral:rRNA from 1 species
UACGAAGGGUGCAAGCGUUACUCGGAAUUACUGGGCGUAAAGCGUGCGUAGGCGGUUUGUUAAGUCCGUUGUGAAAGCCCUGGGCUCAACCUGGGAAUUGCAGUGGAUACUGGCGAGCUAGAGUGCGGUAGAGGAUGGUGGAAUUCCCGGUGUAGCGGUGAAAUGCGUAGAGAUCGGGAGGAACACCCGUGGCGAAGGCGGCCAUCUGGACCAGCACUGACGCUGAGGCACGAAAGCGCUGGGGAGCAAACAGG